rnacentral:rRNA from 1 species
GACGAACGCUGGCGGCGUGCCUAAUACAUGCAAGUUGAGCGCUGAAGGUUGGUACUUGUACCAACUGGAUGAGCAGCGAACGGGUGAGUAACGCGUGGGGAAUCUGCCUUUGAGCGGGGGACAACAUUUGGAAACGAAUGCUAAUACCGCAUAAAAACUUUAAACACAAGUUUUAAGUUUGAAAGAUGCAAUUGCAUCACUCAAAGAUGAUCCCGCGUUGUAUUAGCUAGUUGGUGAGGUAAAGGCUCACCAAGGCGAUGAUACAUAGCCGACCUGAGAGGGUGAUCGGCCACAUUGGGACUGAGACACGGCCCAAAAUCCUACGGGAGGCAGCAGUAGGGAAUCUUCGGCAAUGGACGAAAGUCUGACCGAGCAACGCCGCGUGAGUGAAGAAGGGUUUCGGAUCGUAAAACUCUGUUGGUAGAGAAGAACGUUGGUGAGAGUGGAAAGCUCAUCAAGUGACGGUAACUACCCAGAAAGGGACGGCUAACUACGUG